GAUGAACGCUAGCGGGGGGCCUAACACAUGCAAGUCGAACGAACCUUCGGGUAAGUGGCAAACGGGUGCGUAACACGUGCUUAAUCUGCCCUGGAGUGGGGGAUAACGUCGGAAACGGCGCUAAUCCCGCAUAAUCUCUACAAAAUGAAAAUAUGUAGAGGAAAGAUUUAUCGCUCUAGGAGGAGGGCGCGGCCUAUUAGCUAGUUGGUGAGGUAAUAGCUCACCAAGGCUACGAUGGGUAGCUGGUCUGAGAGGAUGAUCAGCCACAAUGGAACUGAGACACGGUCCAUACCACUACGGUGGGCAGCAGUGGGGAAUCUUGCACAAUGGACGAAAGUCUGAUGCAGCCACCCCGCGUGGAGGAUGAAGCAUUACGGUGUGUAAACUCCUUUUUUGGAGGAAGACGACUGACGGUACUCCAAGAAUAAGCGACGGCUAACUACG
rnacentral:rRNA from 1 species